GUUUAAGUUAUAUAUUGUAUGUUUUUUCUUUAAAAAAGAUAAGUGACAUUUCAUUUAUUAUAAUGUUAAUUGUUUUACAGUAUUUACAUUUUAAUUUCGUACAAGUAUUUUUGAAAUAUCAGAUGCGGCCAAGCCACGUUAUUAGCUAAAUAUUAAGAUUGCUAGCUAAUUAACAAAAGUAUAUAGUAUAUAUUUUUUUAGUUUCUCAUAAACAUUAAACAUUAAUAUUUUACAGAUUUUUUUAUCGGAACUUUUUUAUUCUUACACUUUAGUUGUACAUUUUUAUAUUUAAAGCGAUUGAAUUUAAACAAUUCUUUUUUAUUUAUUUUCCAUACUUUAUAUAUUUCUGAUUUUUAUGUUUCUUCAUAAAUUUUUCUAAUGAUUGUACUUUACAAAAUUUAUUUUAUAUCAUAUAACAAAUCGUUCAUAUUUUUGAUCAUAACAAAAAAAAGAAUAUUUUUAUGUGCGUGAAAAUUACAUCAUAUAUUUAACGGAUAUAUAAUUAUUACGAUUAAUUUUUGUUGAAUAUCAAUUUUUUUAAUUCUUGAAGAGAACUAUCGUCAUCGAUUCCGUGAUGUGUAAGCAAUGUAAUAUUUGAAAAUCAAUUUAAUGAAAAAAAGGAAAGAAAAAUAAAGCAAGCAAAAAAUCAGAUUAUAUAAAAAUAACAAAAAAAAAAAGGAAUGAAGUGAAAAAUACAAAUAAGUAUAUAUUUAAGGAAAAAAAAAAAUAACUGUAGCAUGUUAGAAUAAACCUAUGGCAGACGAUAGUACUCUUGUCAAGCGUUGAUCCUUUAAGCCUAUAACAAUUUUCGUCGUAAGAUUUUUGUAAUCGCUAGUCAAUCGUGUUAAAUGGGUAGCAAGAAGUAUUCUAAGCAAAGAGAGAAGAAAUUAUGCGUCAUCGAUGAAAUAUUUUACUCGUUUCAUUUUAACGAAUUCGGAUGUUUGUACGGAUGCGUAACGCGUUCGUUAAAAAAAAACGAAGAAAGAUGUUAGUUUAUCGAUGGAUACGCGAGAUUAUAGCCAACAGCAGGUAAAACCACGUAUUUUUUUGACGUGUCAAGUUAAUGUACGUAAAUAGCAAAUGAAGUGGUAUAUAAAGUUAUAAAUAUAUAUAUAUUUAUAUAUAUAUAUAGAUAUAUAUUUAUAUAUAUAUUAAUAUAUAUAUAUUAUAUAUUAUAUAAAUUAAGAUGAUAAAAGAGAAUUAAAAUAUUGUUGCAAUAUAAUGCUCUAAGUAGAGUCACACGUGACUAUCGAUCGUGGUACCUUUCCUUUCUAGAAUAUAAUUUAUAAAAAUUAUAUAUAUAUUUUAUAUAUAUAUAUAUAUAAUUAUAUAUAUAAUAUAUAUAUAUAUAAUAAAAGAUAGAAAUGUAAUAUAUUUAUAAAUAUAUAUACAUAUUAUAUAUAAAUAUGAAAUGUCAUAUUAGGAGUACGUUAUAUUAUUUAUGUUUUUUCAGACCUAUGUUAAAAUCCGUCAUUUUUCUUUCCGUUUCAACGAUCUUGGUUUGCUUUUCCGUUCACGGGAAUGCAGAAUGAUACUGCAAUAGUGACACGAUCUUCCGGUAAUCGAGGAAGGAAAAUGAAAAAAAGAAAUAUAUAAAAAGAAAACGAAAGAAAAUAAAAGGGACCAAUGUCGCUGAAAACGAACGAACAUCGUGGAUUUUAUCCUGGGUCUGAAAGGUAUCGGGAGUUGUACAAAAAAAGAACAAAAUAAAUAAAAAAAGAAAUGGAAAUGCUAGAAAGACAGAUAAUACCAUGGCUCUCUUACCCAAUAAUUUAUCAACUAAUAACAUUAGUGAAUUGAUAAGUGACAAGUUGUAAGUUUCUGUUUGUACAAAACAAUUUUUAUAAUAUUAUGUGGAAUAUAAUAUAUUUAUCAGGACAAUCAGCUGGUAAUUUAUAAAAUUCACUUGUAGAAUUUUGGUUUCUUUUUUACCAAACUUGUUACCAUGUAAUAUACAACAAUUACUGUUAUUAGAACUGUUAACUUGUAACUUUAAAAUUUCACUAAUUGCAUUAGUUCAUUUGCGUAAGAGGGCCCAAAUCAUAAAUUCUAUAAUAUCGUAAUUAAAUAUUGCCUGUUCACAGUGUUGUAAAGAUAUUCUAAAGGAAAUGAUAACAAGAUGCUUCGAGAAAGCCUUUUGAAAAACUCGCGAUCAAUCACCGGCUCCUUCUUCGUGUGUGUUAAGCAAUCAUCAUAUCCGAUAUAACUUUGUAAUAAUAAUACUAUUAUUAAUAAUAGAACUGUAAAAUCGUGCGAACAUAAUUUAGAUAUAUAUACAGGAUAAAAAUUGCGUUAGAGAUCUGAGAGAAACAAGUUCUCUGAUUGUAUUAAAGAGACAACCAGUAACAGCUGUUUACACGAAGAGAAGAAUAGAAAAAAAAAAAAAAAAGAAUAUUGGACAUUGUGAAAGCCUGUUUUCGUAAAUAAACUCGUUAAACUCACGCAAGCACAAGAAAGGUCCGCUUUCACAAAUGAACGAGAAGUCAGCCGAGGGCUGGAAAUUAAUUUUCCAUCUGUUUUAUUAAAAUUCAUCAUAAACACGUAAACGAGAGAGUUUUAUCUUCCGCUGAAAGUAGCCGUCCGUAUGAUCGAAAAGCAAAAAGAAGAAAAAAAA